UGGACGCAUCACGUCAUGGGUUAUCCGCUGUAACGGCGGAUCGAAGAGGGAAGCAGGUGCGACACCUGCGCUGCCCCCGCAACUGUGACCGGGGAGGGCGCUUCCACUAUGCCACUGCCGCGCUUUCGGGCGCAGCGGGAAGGCGGAAGCGGCCCGGCGAUCCGGGAGCCAGGAGACCUGCCCGUGUACGGCUGUUCGG
rnacentral:ncRNA from 2 species